GAUGAACGCUGGCGGCGUGCCUAAUACAUGCAAGUCGAGCGAACGGACGAGAAGCUUGCUUCUCUGAUGUUAGCGGCGGACGGGUGAGUAACACGUGGAUAACCUACCUAUAAGACUGGGAUAACUUCGGGAAACCGGAGCUAAUACCGGAUGAUAUUUUGAACCGCAUGGUUCAAAAGUGAAAGACGGUCUUGCUGUCACUUAUAGAUGUAUCCGCGCUGCAUUAGCUAGUUGGUAAGGUAACGGCUUACCAAGGCAACGAUGCAUAGCCGACCUGAGAGGGUGAUCGGCCACACUGGAACUGAGACACGGUCCAGACUCCUACGGGAGGCAGCAGUAGGGAAUCUUCCGCAAUGGGCGAAAGCCUGACGGAGCAACGCCGAGUGAGUGAUGAAGGUCUUCGGAUCGUAAAACUCUGUUAUUAGGGAAGAACAUAUGUGUAAGUAACUGUGCACAUCUUGACGGUACCUAAUCAGAAAGCCCCGGCUAACUACGUG
rnacentral:rRNA from 1 species